UAACUUGAGCUUUGCAUUAGCC
rnacentral:misc_RNA from 1 species